AAUUCUCAGUCUCUCUUUUUUCUUUAUUGAAAUGAGAGAAUGGAUUGUGGAAGUUGCUUGUUCUUUUGCUUGCAAUAAGUCCAGCUCUUCUCAAAUGCAUUAGCAGAAGUUUCCUUGCUAACUGUUCUUGAUAUGAUAAAACAUUUUCCAUGUCUUUGAAAACGUUGGCUCUCCUCACAUCUGCUUCCAAACUGUCUUGCAUUUCAAGACAAUCAGAGAUGUACUUCUCAAA
rnacentral:misc_RNA from 1 species